rnacentral:rRNA from 1 species
UCUUGACAUACUCUGCAAAGCUAUAGAGAUAUAGUGGAGGUUAACAGAUGUACAGGUGGUGCAUGGUUGUCGUCAGCUCGUGUCGUGAGAUGUUGGGUUAAGUCCCCGCAACGAGCGCAACCCUUAUUGCUAGUUACCAUCAUUAAGUUGGGGACUCUAGCGAGACUGCCAGUGAUAAACUGGAGGAAGGUGGGGAUGACGUCAAAUCAUCAUGCCCCUUAUGACCUGGGCUACAAACGUCAUACAAUGGCUGAAACAAAGAGAAGCGAAGCAGUGAUGUGGAGCAAAACUCAUAAAAGCAGUCUCAGUUCAGAUUGUAGUCUGCAACUCGACUACAUGAAGUCGGAAUCGCUAGUAAUCGCAGAUCAGCAUGCUGCGGUAAAUACGUUCUCGGGUUU